rnacentral:rRNA from 1 species
AGUGAACGCUGGCGGUAGGCCUAACACAUGCAAGUCGAACGGCAGCACAGUAAGAGCUUGCUCUUACGGGUGGCGAGUGGCGGACGGGUGAGGAAUACAUCGGAAUCUACUUUUUCGUGGGGGAUAACGUAGGGAAACUUACGCUAAUACCGCAUACGACCUACGGGUGAAAGCAGGGGAUCUUCGGACCUUGCGCGAUUGAAUGAGCCGAUGUCGGAUUAGCUAGUUGGCGGGGUAAAGGCCCACCAAGGCGACGAUCCGUAGCUGGUCUGAGAGGAUGAUCAGCCACACUGGAACUGAGACACGGUCCAGACUCCUACGGGAGGCAGCAGUAGGGAAUAUUGGACAAUGGUCGCAAGCCUGAUCCAGCCAUACCGCGUGGGUGAAGAAGGCCUUCGGGUUGUAAAGCCCUUUUGUUGGGAAAGAAAAGCAGCAGGUUAAUACCCCGCUGUUCUGACGGUACCCAAAGAAUAAGCACCGGCUAACUUCGUG